GACGAACGCUGGCGGCGUGCUUAACACAUGCAAGUCGAACGGAAAGGCCCUGCUCUUGUGGGGUGCUCGAGUGGCGAACGGGUGAGUAACACGUGAGUAACCUGCCCUUGACUUUGGGAUAACUUCAGGAAACUGGGGCUAAUACCGGAUAGGAGCUCCUGCUGCAUGGUGGGGGUUGGAAAGUUUCGGCGGUUGGGGAUGGAAUCGCGGCUUAUCAGCUUGUUGGUGGGGUAGUGGCUUACCAAGGCUUUGACGGGUAGCCGGCCUGAGAGGGUAACCGGCCACAUUGGGACUAAGAUAGGCCCCAGUCUCCAACGGGAGGCAGCGGGGGGGAAUAUUGCGCAAUGGGCGGAAGCCUGAUGCAGCAAUGCCGCGUGCGGGAUGACGGCCUUCGAGUUGUAAACCGCUUUCGACUGUGACGAAGCGUGAGUGACGGUAAUGGGUAAGGAAGCACCGGCUAACUACGUG
rnacentral:rRNA from 1 species